rnacentral:lncRNA from 1 species
AGAGGGCUGCCCCUCGGCCGGUGACCGAGUUAAGCACCGAGCUGUAAAUCGCUUGAGACCUGUAUUUGGUUGUUUUGUUGGUUUUGCCAAGUAAGGUCACUUGAGGAUUUCUUGGCUCGAGGUCCCAGGUUGCGCAGACUCUGACUGCAUCGAGUUGAGAAUUUUGGUCAGAAUGUUAAAGUGGAAACCUACCCCAGGCUGUCAUGACUUUUGCAUUCUGGUAACCAACUGAUCCUACCCGGACCCAUGAUGCAUAACUCAGCUGGUCCUGUGGCGCACACCCAGAGGCCGACUCAAUGCAUGAAGACUGUUUUCCACACCCCUAUGAUUUCAUCCCCAACCAAGCAGCAGCAUCCAUUCCCUAGCCCCCUGCCCACCAAAUUAUCCAUAAAAACUCUGGCUUCUGAGUUCUCAGCAAAACUGAUUUUAGUAAUAACUCCAGUUCUUCCACUUGGCUGGCCUUAGUUAAUUAAACUUAUUCUUUACUAUAGUACCGUGUUCCCAGUGAAUUGGUUUUGUCUGUGUAGCAGGCAGGACAACCCAUCAGGCAAUCACACAGUUACUCUGCAGUGCUUCUUUUUAUUUUGCUUUUCAAACAAAUUUCAAAUAUUAUUAGAUUGAAAUAAACUAUACAAAUAGCUUUUCCUCACAAAAA